rnacentral:rRNA from 1 species
ACUCCUACGGGAGGCAGCAGUGGGAGUAUUGCACAAUGGGAAACCGGUACUGCAGCCAUGCCGCGUGUGUGAAGAAGGCCUUCGGUUGUAAAGCACUUUCAGUAGGGAGGAAGGUAGUGUAGUUAACACCUGCACUAUUUGACGUUACCUACAGAAGAAGCACCGGCUAACUCCGUGCCAGCAGCCGCGGUAAUACGGAGGGUGCGAGCG